AUUGAACGCUGGCGGCAUGCUUUACACAUGCAAGUCGAACGGUAACAGGGUGCUUGCACCGCUGACGAGUGGCGAACGGGUGAGUAAUGCAUCGGAACGUACCCAGUCGUGGGGGAUAACGUAGCGAAAGUUACGCUAAUACCGCAUACGUCCUGAGGGAGAAAGCGGGGGACCGUAAGGCCUCGCGCGAUUGGAGCGGCCGAUGUCGGAUUAGCUAGUUGGUAGGGUAAAGGCCUACCAAGGCGACGAUCCGUAGCGGGUCUGAGAGGAUGAUCCGCCACACUGGGACUGAGACACUGCCCAGACACCUACGGGUGGCUGCAGUCGAGAAUAUUCCCCAAUGGCCGAAAGGCUGAGGGAGCGACGCCGCGUGCAGGAAUAAGGCCU
rnacentral:rRNA from 1 species